rnacentral:rRNA from 1 species
UCGAACGCGAAAGGGGCCUUCGGGCCCCCGGUAGAGUGGCGUCCGGGUGAGUACCACGUAGGUAAUCUGCCUCCGGGUGGGGAAUAACGACCGGAAACGGUCGCUAAUACCGCAUAACGCAGCGGCACCACAUGGUGACAGUUGUUAAAGCGGGGGAACACUUCGGUGUCCUCGCGCCUGGAGAGGAGCCUGCGGCGGAUUAGGUAGUUGGCGGGGUAACGGCCCACCAAGCCCGCGAUCCGUAGCCGGCCUGAGAGGGCGGUCGGCCACACUGGCACUGACACACGGGCCAGACUCCUACGGGAGGCAGCAGUCGGGAAUUUUGGGCAAUGGGCGCAAGCCUGACCCAGCAACGCCGCGUGAAGGAUGAAGCUUUUCGGAGUGUAAACUUCAUAAGAAUGGGACGAAUAAGGAGGGGUUAACACCCCCUUUGAUGACGGUACCAUUUGUAAGCUCCGGCUAACUCCGUGCCAGCAGCCGCGGUAAUACGGGGGGAGCAAGCGUUGUUCGGAUUUACUGGGCGUAAAGGGCGCGUAGGCGGUCGGCCAAGUCACUUGUGAAAUCUCCGGGCUUAACCCGGAGCGGCCAAGUGAUACUGUUCGACUGGAGUGCGGAAGGGGCUACUGGAAUUCUCGGUGUAGCGGUGAAAUGCGUAGAUAUCGAGAGGAACACCUGUGGCGAAGGCGGGUAGCUGGGCCGACACUGACGCUGAGGCGCGAAAGCCAGGGGAGCGAACGGGAUUAGAUACCCCGGUAGUCCUGGCCUUAAACGAUGGAUACUUGGUGUC